GCCUGGGUUUGUUAUCUAGAAGGUGACCUA
rnacentral:piRNA from 1 species